GACGAACGCUGGCGGCGUGCUUAACACAUGCCAGUCGAACGGACAGGCCCUGCUUUUGUGCGGUGCUCGAGUGGCGAACGGGUGAGUAACACGUGAGUAACCUGCCCUUGACUUUGGGGUAACUUCAGGAAACUCGGGCUAAUACCCGAUAGGAGCUCCUGCUCCAUGGUGGGGAUUGGAAAGUUUCGGCGGUUGGGGAUGUACUCGCGGCUUAUGAGCUUGUUGGUGGGGUAGUGGCUUACCAAGGCUUUGACGGGUAGCCGGCCUGAGAGGGUGACCGGCCACAAUGCGACUGAGAGAGGGAGCAGACUCGUACGGGAGGCAGCGGGGGGGAGUAUGACGCAGUGGGCGGAAGCGUGAGGCAGCAACGCCGCGUGCGGGAUGACGGCCUUCGGGUGAUAAACCGCUUUCGCCUGUGACGAAGCGUGAGUGACGGUAAUGGGUAAAGAAGCACCGGCUAACUACGUG
rnacentral:rRNA from 1 species